rnacentral:rRNA from 1 species
UGCAGUCGAGCGGAACGAUCCUAGCUUGCUAGGAGGCGUCGAGCGGCGGACGGGUGAGUAAUGCAUAGGAAUCUGCCCGAUAGUGGGGGAUAACCUGAGGAAACUCAGGCUAAUACCGCAUACGUCCUACGGGAGAAAGCAGGGGCUCUUCGGACCUUGCGCUAUCGGAUGAGCUUAUGUCGGAUUAGCUGGUUGGUGAGGUAACGGCUCACCAAGGCGACGAUCCGUAGCUGGUCUGAGAGGAUGAUCAGCCACAUCGGGACUGAGACACGGCCCGAACUCCUACGGGAGGCAGCAGUGGGGAAUAUUGGACAAUGGGGGCAACCCUGAUCCAGCCAUGCCGCGUGUGUGAAGAAGGCCCUCGGGUUGUAAAGCACUUUCAGUGAGGAAGAAGGCUUGUCGGUUAAUACCCGGCAAGGGAGACAUCACUCACAGAAGAAGCACCGGCUAACUCCGUGCCAGCAGCCGCGGUAAUACGGAGGGUGCGAGCGUUAAUCGGAAUUACUGGGCGUAAAGCGUGCGUAGGCGGCUUGAUAAGCCGGUUGUGAAAGCCCCGGGCUCAACCUGGGAACGGCAUCCGGAACUGUCAGGCUAGAGUGCAGGAGAGGAAGGUAGAAUUCCCGGUGUAGCGGUGAAAUGCGUAGAGAUCGGGAGGAAUACCAGUGGCGAAGGCGGCCUUCUGGACUGACACUGACGCUGAGGUACGAAAGCGUGGGUAGCAAACAGGAUUAGAUACCCUGGUAGUCCACGCCGUAAACGAUGUCGACUAGCCGUUGGGGUCCUCGAGACCUUUGUGGCGCAGUUAACGCACUAAGUCGACCGCCUGGGGAGUACGGCCGCAAGGUUAAAACUCAAUGAAUUGACGGGGCCCGCACAGCGGUGGAGCAUGGUGGUUUAAUUCGAUGCACGCGAGACCUUACUACCCUUGACAUC